CCUGCAGAGCUGCACUGCUCGAGUGAACUCCAGCUGGAGAAUCUCAGGUCACUGGAGUCUGGAAACAGCAGGGCAAAGAAGGUGUUCUGAAGGGUUGAAAGAAAAGGCUGGCCCUCAUGCUAUUGCAGCCAGCUUGAAAGACUAGAAGUAAAUGAAAACCAUGAUCUCUGGACAGAGGCAUCAUCAUCCUAGAUCUUGAGGAAUCCUCAUAUUUUUCACGGGCUUUUAGCAGCGUACAAUAAGAUAAUCCAAACAAGAAAACAAGGCAGGAACCAAUGGAAAGCUCCCUGAUCAUUCAGAGUGGUUUUUAUAUUUAAAGAAAUAAGGCAAUCUUAUGUAUCUGGAGAGAAGAAACUAAACAGGUGGUGUAGGUUAAUAGAAUUUCUAAAAAUGAAAUAUAAUAACCAAAAGGUGGGAAUCCAAGAAUGUUUUUAGCAGCAGAUAGGACAUGCCAGAAGAGGGCUGAAAGGAAGAAUGAUAGGAAAGAGAAGUACAAACAGGAUUCAGUAGAUAGGUCAGACUUCCUUUUAAUCUCAAAAGAAAGAGAAUAGAUCAAAGAUGAUAUUUGUCGAGAAUUUUCCAGGAUUGAUGUGGCACUAGUCUACAGAUUCAGGAAGCCCAAAUUCCAAGAUGGAUAAAUAAAAAAGAAAUCUCGACAUACUAUAAUGAAAUUGCAAAAACAAAAGACAAACUCGAAAGCAUCUGGAGGAAAAAGAUGACCCUAAAAAGGAACAGGAAUGAGACUGACAGUUGACUCUCAACAGUAACAGUGGAAAUCAACAGGCGGAAUAUAUUCUGAAAGAAACCUUCAGCACUGUGUUCUGUCCCUGCUAAAAAUAUCCUGGAAGAAUGAAAGCGUACAUCCUUAGGUUCUAUGGCAAAAAUUCUAAAAGAUGUACUUCAGGCAGAAAGAAAGUGAUUCCAUUUAGAAAGGUCUGAGAUAAGAUAAACUGAGAUAAACUUUAAUUGUAUGCAUAUAUUUAUUGUUAGAAUUAUGACCCUAAUAGUAAGAGCAUGUAACUUCCAAACUAUCACAGAAAACCAGGAUUAGACCUAUAUAAUUUAAUGUGUUAGGGAAGAUUAGUGGUUGUUGUGGAUACCUUAUAUUGCUCAGGAAGAAGGUAGAAAUUCAUCAAUAUUAAACAUUAGAUGGAAUCAAGUAUGCGAGAAAAAUUUAAAGUUAACUUACUAUGAAGCCAUGGUAAUUUAAACAGUGUGAUAUUCUCAGAGACAUGCGGAUCAAGGGAACAGGGGGCACUCAAGCAGGGCACACCUAUCUGGACACUGAGUAGAGAGGCGGCUUCCAAAAGAGUAGGGAAAGGGGGAGUUACACAGUCAGUGGAGUGGGCCCAUGGUUUUCUAUUUUGGGUGGGGAGUAACCAGAGGGUUCAAGACCUGAAUGAAAAAAGUACAAAAUGAAAACUUUACAAAUUAAAAUAAUUGUUUUACCUUAGGUGUUUAAAAUAGAGAAAGCACAAAUCAAAGAAGAUUAAAGAUCAAUAGUAGACUACAUUAAAUUAAACAUUUGAAUAACAAGAUUCCCAAAUAAUAAAAAGACCAGAAAAAAUGUUGAUAAUGCAUAAUAGUAUCCAGUCAACAACCCCGUGGAUAACUGGACAACACACAUCAACAGGCAACUAUCAGAAGAAACCUUUAAUGUCCAGUGGCUUGAUUUCAGGGAAUUACAAAUUUAAAAAGGUGACGGGGCAGGGUGACACUGCUGUAGUCACAGGGAUCACUCCCUCCCUCCCUCUCAAUGCUAUCAAAAGAUGCUCUUUUGGAAAAAUUUCCCAGCAGUUGGGUGGCUUAAAGAAACUCCCAUGGUCAUGUGACUCCAGAUACUUCUGGGGCUGGUUGAAUAAAGUGGAUGUCAACCCUGACUGGCGGCAUCCAAGUGGCUUUGCUGUGGGGCUGUGGUGUGCUACCAGGGCCAGGAGAGUUGGCAGAAGGACAUAACCUCUCAUCAGGCCCUCUAGACAAACAGAAUUCAGGCAGUUGAUGCCACUGCUCUUAAAUCAUGAGCAUUGGAUUUGAUCACAUGGAGGGCUAACAGCAUGCUGGAAAAACAAGGUCAUGCAAGUGUCAUAUAUUGAGCCUGAGUGUUCGGAGAGACUUUGUAAAGUUAAAAAUUUACAUAAAAGCAUGUUGGAAAUAAUUUCAUGUGGAUGUAUCACAGACAGAGGCAUCGUUGCUCUGCAUCACUUAAGAAACCUCAAGUGUUUGCUAUAAAGUGAUCUUCCUGGACUAAGAGAAAAAGAAAACCUUGUCCAAGCCUUUGAGAUAGGACCACCUUCUCUAGAACUAAAAUUAGACUUGAAGUAAAAUAAUAAUAUUCAGUAAGUGUCUUAUUUCAAAUGGAAGCAUCUACAGGUGAAUGGAUAAAGAAGAUGUGGUACUCACCAUAUAAAGAGUGAGAUCUUGCUGUUUGCAACAACAUGGAUGGGCCUAGAGAG